rnacentral:rRNA from 1 species
GGACCCGCACAAGCGGUGGAUUAUGUGGUUUAAUUCGAAGCAACACGAAGAACCUUACCAAGGCUUGACAUACCGAUGAAUUAUGCAGAAAUGUAUACGCCCUUCGGGGCAUUGGAUACAGGUGGUGCAUGGUUGUCGUCAGCUCGUGUCGUGAGAUGUUGGGUUAAGUCCCGCAACGAGCGCAACCCUUGUGAUUAGUAGCUACAUUUAGUUGAGCACUCUAAUCAGACAGCCGCAGUUAAUGCGGAGGAAGGUGGGGAUGACGUCAAAUCAUCAUGCCCCUUACGCCUUGGGCAACACACGUAAUACAAUGGCGAACACAGAGUGAAGCGAGGUCGUGAGGCGGAGCAAAUCACUUAAAAGUACGUCCCCAGUUCGGAUUAUAGUCUGCAACCCGACUAUAUGAAGUUGGAAUCGCUAGUAAUCGCAAAUCAGAAUGUUG